rnacentral:lncRNA from 1 species
UCGAGGAGGGGGUAGAUCGCUUAAGGAGAGGGAUCGGCCCCGCCUCUCAGUGAUUGUAAAGUCAUUGACUUUAAGUCGGGGGAUUCACUUUCUGCUCAGGUAUUGUCACAAUAUAGGGUUCAUUUGCUGUGCAAUCAACUGAGUAAUGCAAUUGUGCAAUCAAAUUGACGGGAGCUAUUCGAUCUGCAACCUGUGGCUGUGAUUCUCAUCAGGAGGUCCCACCACCGUUCAACUUAAUCUUUGCCAAAAUCACCCCGCAUGCAGGUCAAUUUUUUUGUGAAACCCCCCUGGCUAUGAACCUCCUGACCGUCUUCAUAUCGAUCGUUCUAGGUCGUCUGACCCUGUCUCGCUGCCGCCGGCCGGCCGGCCGACAAUGGCUUCCUCCGUGCUUUCACUACCCCGAAACGAUCCGCAGGUCCACGGCAUGCCCCUAGUGAAUUGAUCUCUUCUUUUCCAAAGAGAUGAUCUCAACGUCAUGGCUGCAUCCUUCUUCUCUCUCGACGUACAGAACUACAUAUGAGCAAGGAUAACAAAUCAUGUUCCCGUCGCACCAUCUCUCUCUUUUCUCUUCUCUCUCUCUACAUACGGAUGAGCAAUGCAGAAUUGCAGACUUGAACUGAACAUAAGACUCGACGUACAGGCCGCCGUGACGUUGAGUUCUUCGAAGCAGCAGGGAUCAAAUCACGUGGGCCCCUGCCGUGCAGGAUCGGCGUGCGGAGGAAGCCGGUAUCGGCUGGCCGGCGGCAGCGAGACGUAGUUAGGCAACCUAGAGUGAUUGAUACGAAGACAAAACAAGAAAUCCAGCUGUUUGGGGAAGAAGACUCACGAGGGUUCAUAGCAAGGGGGUUUUCACACAAAAAAGAAGACCUAUGUGCGGGGUCAGUAUUCGAAGUUAGUCACUCCAAAUAUUUUUCCUACCAAGAAAUAUAAGGAUGUGUGUGUUUCUGGAGAUUUUUCUUUAGCCAGUAUUUGAAAGUGCAUGUUGUUCCAUGCGUGGUUUUGGUAAUUGCUAUGAACUAAUGUUUUAUUUGAAAUGUAUUUGAAGGAAUGUCCCAUAGGCAAUUCAUGAAGACCACUUGGUAAAUUCAAUGACAAAUGUCAUAAAGUUAUACAUUGAGAUUUGACAAUUGGUUAUGUGGUUUUGGUAACCGAUGAAAAUUCCUAUGGAUAAGUAUCUGCAUUGAGCUUUACAUGAAUGAAUGUUAGUAAGCAAAGGAGAAAAUUGACACAGUACCACUAAGGGAAAUCUAAGACUCCAAAAUACCACUCAAAAAACCAAGAAUUCCAAAAUACCACUAGAAGUCAGUUUUUCACUCCAAAAUACCACUAUAACUAACAGCCCCUAACAGACCCUAACAGCUCAAACAUGGACAUAUAUACCCUUACAUACCUCCUCAAAUAGACAACAUUUCAACUAUAUUUCAGCAGCAAAUUUGACAACAUUUCAACAGCAAAUUGGAUAGCAUUACAACAGCAUUCCAACAGCAGCAAAUACAGCAUCAAACAGCAGCAUUUCAGCAGCAAACAACACCAUUUCAGCACCAAUUAAAUGCAGCAAACAGCACCACUUAACAGCAGCAAACAGCACCAUUUCAGCACCAAUUAACAGCAGCAAACAUCACCACUUAACAUCAGCAAACAACACCAUUUCAGCACCACUUAACAGCAGCAAACAACACCAUUUCACUAGCAACAAGGGUCUAAAUAGUAGCUAAACACAUUGUCACAUCACAUGGUACUUUAACCAAAAGGAUACCACUAAUUUAACGCAACAACCAUACAUGAAGCGAUCAUCCCCCUUACUAGGGUUCGAUCUCUGUGCUUAUUGUGCUAGUCCCUGGAUCGACUCGCUAGCACACACAGUUUCAAGAUGUAAUAUCAAGAUACAAAGGUCAAAAGUAUAUUACAUCGCAUUGAUCCAGAAUUUAGUAGUAACUUACAUAUUGCAUAACCUCAUGGGUUAUCUCAAAAGAAAAAAUAAAAUCUUGCAGCGGAAGGCAGAAGAUACAGGAGUCCCAUAACAACUCCACAAUCGAAACAUGUUGGAAUGUAAACUCGCAACCCUAACAAUUCGUACCUCACUCUUCACCUGGUUCACCUGCAACAUUUAAACGUUGCAGCCACUAGGGGAUCAAUACAUUGAAUGUAUUGGCAAGUUCACCAAAGGGUUAUAACAGACCUAACAAGUAUAUGCAUUAUUUGGCAAGGUAGGGGUUUGGCUAUUUGCGUAAAAGCAUCAUUGUUCAAUCCUAUCAUUUUUAAUAAAAUACUUUUGAUUCUAUUGGACACGGGGUAGAAACACCCAUGCUCCUAUUAACCUAGGCACAUUGAGUAGAAACAUCAAUGCUCCUACCCAGUUCAAUCCAUUCGUUUUAUUAGGAAAUUGGAAUGAGUGAGACCUUCCUUACAGCCCCAAUAUCUAGUUGCUCAUAAUUGUCUGUACGGGGACACAGCUAAGUACUUAGUUUGACACUCUCAAGAGGUUGUACACAUUCCCCACAGAAAUCGACGUGUUAAUCCCUUGCUGUCCUCAAGGUAGAGUAGCAACGACAUCCAUUACGGGAAUUUUCAGACCAUAAUCACCCAGACCACCUGAGGGACCUACGUUCCCACCUACACGGCUACAUCUGCACAAUCCAUCGGAUCCAGGAUCAUAUGUCUUACAUGCAUCCUGGCAGAGCCCAUAUUACCAUGUGGUUGUACUGAAAGCUACUAAACAGGAAACUAGUCCAGUCUCUGAAUACCCCGGGUGGCAUCCCACAUUGUGACGCAGGCGCUCCCCGAAUCGCACGGGGAGACGAUUAUGGACGCUCCCGAAUAACACGGAGAGACGACUCAGCGGGACCCAUAGAAAUGGACCUAACGUCACGACAUCCGAAAACUCAAAGCAGCCAACCAGGACGAUUCAUUGAAUUACAUGUUUUGCCAUACACUAGGAAAAUCAUAUUGUAAUUCAAUAGUAUCACAUUGUAAUAAUACCAUCCUCGUAUAUUAUCAUAGCAUAGCAUUUUUCUACUACGAUGGCAAUUGGUGGUAAGGUCAUGAUAAGGGUCUCCUAUACUAUUAGGACAGAUCAUAACUAGCAUAGAUACAGUAAUAAUCUUGACAAUGCAACUAAUAAAAUCUAGUGCAUAAUAAAAUAAUUGGAUGAUGGUCAAAGUGAACUUGCCUUUGUCACAGUAGUUCGAGUUCAAACACUCGUCACACUCGCAAGGUUCGCUCUCCGAGAAAACUAUACGAGACGAAACAAACAUAUACAUACAUAAACACACAAUUCACAUAACGACAAAAAUAAGACAUGCUAUGAUGUAAUGCAACAUGUGACAUGAUUUGGUUUAUUUUAUUUGGGUGAUCAUCUGGUCCUAAGCAUUGGUAAUUAAAACAAAAGCAUUUGGGUUUUAAACAAAAGGCAAAAACAAUUUAUUAAAACCCUAAAUAAGGUUUUAUUGGCAUCAGCCAAAUAAUUUAUUUCAAAAUAUUUAUUUCUCUAUCCCAAUGGACAGAGGAUAAUAAAACAAAUUUUUGGACACUGGUUUCAAUUAAAAUGGACUUCUAAAUAAUUAGUUGUGAAUUAAAUGGCAUAAAACCCUAUUCUGUAAUUUGAAUGUGAUUCAAAACUUCAAAUUAGAAAUUGGACAGUGCAAAAAGAUUCUACAGGUUGAGAGCUUUCCAAAAAGGUCAAGUUUGUCAAAAUUGGCUAAAGGGUUUAAAAGUUAUGAGCAUUUGAAGUUACAGGGGCUUUUCUGCAAAAGUGCUAUUUGUAUUUCGGCCGAAAAAGAAAAAAGAAAAAGCUCUGCCACGUGGCGCGUUGUGGUUGGUCGGGGGCUAGGCUUAGGGUUUUGUUUUUUUUUACCAGGGAGCUGCCGGUCUUGGGGAAGAUGACCGGUGGCGGCGGCGGGUGGCGGCGGCUCGGGCUCGGGCUCGGGGAGGCGGGCGGACGACGGGGCGGCGGGCGGCAGGCGUGACUCAGGGCGCGUGGGGCGGAGGCGGCUCGCGGGCGGCGCGGCGCGGGGUGAGUGGGCCGGUUCGGCCUAAAACGGCCGGGCCGGUCCAUUUCCCCCUUUUUUUUCUUUUAGCCUUUUUCUUUUUCUGCUUUUCUCAUUCUUUGAUAACUUUUGAUUUUGUACUCCAAAUUGGUCCAAAUAAAUUCCAGAAAAUUUGUACAAUCAUGUUCUAUCAUGAUACAACUUUUGGGAUUAGUUUCCCGUCAAAAGAGAAUACACAAAAAUACAUUUGCCCUAUAAAUGCCUCUAGGGCUAUAUAACUAUUUAAAUAAAAUAGUUUUCAAUUCCAAAUAAUUAUCCAAAAAUUAUGGGAUAGCUUAUAUAUGCAUUAAACCCCUUUUAUACAUAAACCCUAUUGGUUUGAAAAUCCAAGGCUAAAAAGGGUGUAAACCCUAGGGUUCAAAAUGAAACAAAGUCUUUUAAAGCCUUUUGAGAUUCAAAAUUUGAAUUCAAAUAUGCAAUUGUGGCAUGAUGCUCAUGGAUGGUAUGCAUAUGCAAAAUUUUGAAAUUUUGGGAUUUUACAAAACAUCAUUCACUGCUUAAGAGGGUUGCCGCGGAAGCACUAUGGGGGUGCACUCCAUCCGCGCUUGGCGCCGACGGGGUGCACGGCCAUGGUGCCCCUGCCGCACCCCUCCCGAGGGUGCCUCCAGAGGUGAGGGCCGCCGCGAGGACGCUGUGAUGGUGCCGGUGCCGGCGUUCGCCGCUCGCUCCGGCCCGCCAAAGCGUUCCUGCUGCGCCCCUCAGGUAGACUCCCCCAAGCAGCGAGGGUUGCUGCGGGGACGCCGUGAUGUUUUCGCCACCCGCGUUCACCGGUGGUGGUGAGGGUGUCACGGCGUCCCUACUGCACCCCUUAGAACAAGUUCCUCUGAAGGCAAGGGCUCUUCCGAAGGCGAGGGUUGCUGCGGAGACGCGGCAGUAGCAUCGUCAUCGGCACUUGUCGCCGGCGGCGAUCCUGCCGCAUCCCUCAAGCAGGCUCUCUCAAGGGCGACGUACCAGGUGCACCCCUCCGACAAGCAUACCGAGCAAGACACCAAACGAAAAGCUAAGUGCUUGAACCUGAACAAUAGACUCUCUGAGAACCAAACGUAACUGAACGCUGCCUCGCUAAGUGUGGUCCCGAAACCUGCUUGCGGCCGGGGUGUUAAAAAGACGCUUGUGGGGGGAGUUCGCUCCCGUGCGGCUUCCAGGUCCGCACCCGGGAGGGCAUGGCUGGGAGUAGUUAUCCCGCAAGCAGAGUGGUUCGCCGUCGCUGCUUGGCCCCAGGUCGGCACUGCGGGUCCGUCCCGGGUCCCUGGUCCGGUUAAGUGAGUGGCGUGCGAGUCCCCGGCAACACAAAGCAUAACACGCAAGGGCGAAGGGAUCCACCCCGGGAACAAGGAACAAGGAUUAAGCAGAACUAAAGAGCUAGAUAAACAAAGUAACAAGCGAUUACAUGAAGUAAUGAAACAGUAAUUGUUCAAACGGCGCCAGGCGCCAUACUUGCAGGAACGAAAACAAAAGAAGGCAAACAAGGAAACAGCAAGGGCCGACAGGGGGCUGCAAGGAUGGCUCGGGGUCCGGCUUCCGCUGCAUCCGCUCGACCACCUCGUCGACAAACCCACUCAACGCCUGUGUGUGGGUGGGUUCAUCCUUGCUGUCCGACCAGGCGUCCAACAGAGUCUCGAAGGGGAACUCUGAGUCCCGGAGGUGCACCCUCGGAAGGAUCGUCCCGGCAACCUCCCGGGCGCAGUUGGCGACCUCGUCGACGCCGAACUUGGAGAUCCAGACGUCGAGCGCCGCGAACUUCCCCACCAAGUCGGAGAAGAACGGGAUCAGCGUGUAGACGUCCGUGUCGUCCCCCUCCGUGGCCCGCAGCUCGAAUCGAGGCAGCCGGUCGCGCAUCACUUGGGCGAUCUUGAGCAGCUUCUCGGUCUCCAGCUGCCGUUGCCCGAUCAGCGUGCUGUGGUGGAGCCGGGCGUUGAGCGUGGCCUUCUAGGCGGCUUGCUAGCGACGCGAGCUCCGCGGCCUGGGUUGCGUUGUCCUCGCCGGCCUUGGCGAGCUCCUCCCGGACAGCGGCCCGCUUGGUCUCGAGCCGGGCCGCUUUUUCCUUGGCGGCGUUGGGCUGGAUCUCGUGCCGGGCUGCCGCGCCCACCGCACUUUUGGUGGCCUUGGUCUGCACCUCCAGCUUGACGCGGAAGCCUUGGGUCUCGCCGAGAUAGUUGACGAUCAGAUCCCUCUUCUCGUCGAUCCGAGCCUGGGCCACAACAAGCACCCCCGCAUGCUCCUUCUUGGCUUCCGCCUGAGCCGCCACCAGCGAAUCCAGAGCUUCCUGGAGCUCGGCGCGCUGAGCCUCCGGUCGCCAGUAGAGCUCUUCUUCGGGGUCGACCGGUGUGGCGGCCUCCUCCAAGGCUUCCCGGGCAAGGCGCGCCUCCUCCCUGCCGCUCCUUCUCCACGGCCAGCCGCACCUCACCGAGCUGGCUCUUGACGAUCGUGUGUUGCUCCCUCACCUCGUUGAAGGAGGUGACGAAGGCUAGCUGCUGGUCCUUGACAGCGUCAAGGAACCGGUGCCCCCGGUCGAGGAUCCCAUCUGAUGGGAUUCCAAGCCACCCCGGCAAGGGUGCCGAGGUCGGUGUCGAAGGCGGUGGCCGAUGAUGACGAAGCCCCCGCCGCCACCGUAUGGCUGGACGGGGGGUCGUCUGCUUGCGGCAGAGCAUUAUGUUGCUCCUCCUCCGCAACCUCCCCCUCACCCGCGCCUGGGGACUGCGGGGCUGGCGAGGUUGCCGCGCCCUCGGCAGGGACCGCCUCCUGCUGGGUGGCACAAGAAUCUGCGCCAGCGGCUUCUACGGCCUCUGGCGCGUCACCAGACGCCGUCCCGGAGGCGGCGAUGGUCGCCACUGCCGUUGCAGCCGGCGUAGCAGGGCUUGGAUAAGGACCUUGCGGGGCCACUGGGCUUGCGGGGGGAGUUUGCCCCUCCUCCUCCGUCCCGGCAGGUGCCGCCAGGAGGUCUGUUGCGGGCGAAGCGUCGCCUGUGGAAAAAGAAGGCACAGUUGCAGGACUAACAGGCAAAUGAAAAUGCUGGUAAGGACGCGGGAGGGUGUCGUACCUGUUGCCUGCGCCACCUCAAUCGGGGCUGGGUCGCCAGCGGAUGCGGUUGCGGCACCGCUGGCCCCUGGGUCGGCCGGGUCGGCGCCGCUGCCGGCAUCCAUGCGCGCCUUCUUGCCUGGCACGGCAGGCGGGUAAUGGUCCCUCCCCCUCUUGCCGGCGCUUGCCGACGAAUCGGCCUUCGGGGGGUUGUGCCGGAGCGUGAAGCCCCGGAAGAUCCCCCGCGCGGGCAGGGCCGUGGGUGCCCGUGGGGGUGCCGCGGCCCGAGGCGCCACGGGAACCGUCGAAGGAGCCGCCACGGCGUCGGCGGCCACUGCGGGUGUGGAUGCUGCCGCGGACCCGGCGACUGCUGCUGGGGUAGUCGCCACCAGGUCGCGGGCGGUCGCUGCCGGGGUGGUCACCGCCGUGGCUCCGGCGACCGCGGCGGGGGUGGUCGCCGCUGAGGUGCCGGCGGCCGCCGACGAAGAGCCGGAGCCGCCGCGGGUGCGGAUGCCGCCGCUGCUUGCACCCUUGAUCUGCGCACAAUCAGGGUUGCGUCGUCCUCCUCCUCCUCGUAGUCCACGGGGACGACUACCUAGGUCGCGGCAGGCUGGCCCUUCUCGUCGUCUGAGGGCCAGCUGACCUCCGACUCGCUCCCGCUUUCUUUAAGCACCUGCUUCCCGCGAGGUGCAGGCGGAGGGGCAUGCGGGGUCCGAGUGGGGGAGUCGUCCCUCAGCCCCCACUCAUUGUAGGGCGGGAAGGAGGCGAUUAUGUCGGUCAGCCCCGGAACGUCGGCGUGGAGGGAGAUAACCUGCAGGGGUGGAGCUGUGCCACCUGCAGGUUGUACGACUCCAUGAGCGCAUGCAGGAACAGGGAGAACGGCGGCACCAAUCCUGCGAGGAUGAAGCGCCCGAACACCUGGAAGUCGUUUUCCUGGUGGUCGGCGCCGGCGGGGAAGAUCAGGGUCUCCGCGUGCUCAUUGAACCCGGAGGCAAUGGCGUGCCGGAUCUUGGCCAGCGCCUCACUGUUGUAGCCGGGCCGAUAGAAUCGUGGCCCUCGUCGCCCUCUUCUUCUGAUCUUUGUCGGCAGCGGCCCUUGUGGCCGCCUCGCUCUUGCUGGCCGCCAGUUUCUUUGGGGCCUUCCCUUCCUUUCCCUUCCUGGUGGUGGGGGGCGCCAUAGGGAGCGAGGGCGGAAACUAGAAAGGCUCUUGGGCGCAAGAUGCGAAAAGUUGGAGGAAGAAGGCUGGGGGCUAAGUGUUUACCCCUCAGCGCAGCAGUAAAAGCUUUAUAACACUCCGUCGUACGGUAACGGCUGUUUCCGCACCCAGCGGGUGCGCUGGGAUAAUUACUAAUCAGAGGGAUAAUGCGAAGAGUGACCUUAACUUUCCUGUUUAAGGGGGAGGUUACGGCAGAAAUUUCGUACCCACUACUUCGUCCGUAACGGCAGGGUCCUUGGGAUGGCGGAAAGACGCAGGCCCGAGACGACUCAGAACCCACGCGUUGGUUAAGGGCGUAGCACGGCAACCAACCAGGGAGGAGUCCGCCCAGGAACCAGCGUUGCCGGCCCACGCCCGGGGGCUACUGUCGCACCAGUGGCACCCGGGGUACCACCGCUGCACGACGCGCGGGUCGCCUCGUCUGCUUCCCGGGAGGAUCUCACCCCAGGCGGCAACGUGCAGGCUGCCCGGCAAGGCUAGCGGGGCUUCAGGGAAUAAUCUUGCCUGGGCGCUUCCCGGGAGGUAACUUGCCGGGAGGAGGCGUUCCCGGGCACAGGUUUCCACCGUGAGGGUGGGGCCGAGAGAACAGAGCAGCAGGGCCACGUGGGCGCGCGGCAGGCGCCCGGUGUGCAGGGUUGCCAGGACGAGGAGUGAGGCGCACGGCGCAUUUAAUGAGCCGACAGGAGGGGGGUUAUCCGUCUAGUCACGCAAACAGUGACUGCCCAGAGCUAUUUUUUAGGCCUUAGACCCCUAGCCGCGGGGUUGGCGCUCUUGCAUGCAUGUCAGCGCACCGAGGAGGAGCUGCCCAAGCUCCCUGCUCGCCACUUGUAAUCCAUGUGCCGUGGCACCUAUGGUAUCCCCUUGGCUAUAAAAGGAGGACCCCCGCCAACGGUCAAAGGGUUCAGUCUUUGGUUGGUCGAUUUUUCGUGCGUCUAACUGAUAGUCCAGCGCUAGCAUUAGCUCAGAAUAGUAAGGAGCACUUAGCCAAAAAGAGAGCACCCGGGGACCCUUCCCCGGCAACUUGUAAACCCUCAAUCUUACGAUAAUACGAGCUCAGACAAGCAGAACGUAGGGUUUUACACCGCAAGGUGGCCCGAACCUGGGUAAAAACGUUCUCGUGUUCAUUGCACUCUUACGCUUCACAUUGGCCUCGCUGGCGAUUGCCGGAGAGAUCCCCGUCCCCCACUGCCGAACCUAAAAGGCCUGCGCAUCCCCGAUGUCGGAGCCCCGUGCUACGACAGGCGUCCUGAACGCCCGCCAGCAGGAAGACCUCAGCCGGCACUUGGAGCGCCGGCACCGGCGUGAGGCGGAAGCAGCCGCCAUCAUCAACACGUACACCAUAAACGUCUGCGACCCGAAGAUGCGUGAGAAGCUCAACACGCACCGGAUCCGGACCACAAGGGAUUUCUACGCACUCGCGCAUAAGGGCGCGAUGGCCGAGCAAGGGCACUUGGCGCCCGAGCUUGCUGCCAAAGUGGGGUAUAGAACUUAUUCCCUGCUUAUUCCUUGGCUUCGGCACUACUAGAGGGUUAGCUAACCAAGUGGGGUACAGAACUUCCAUGAUAGCCCCCGCAGCCUUGAGCUUGUCCACCUCUUGCUUGAUGAAAUUUUUACGCUCCUGCGCUUGCCUUUGAAUCUUCUGCUUGACGGGGCGGACGUCUGGGCGCACCGCGAGUCCAUGCUCAAUCACGUCCCUAGGGACUUCGGGAAGGUCCGACGGCUCCCAAGCGAACACGUCGGCAUUCUCCCGCAGGAAACUGACGAGGGCGCUUCCCUAUUCGGCAGUAAAGUUCGCACCGACGGUAAUGGUGCGCUCCUUGUAGCCGGCUUGGAGGGGCAGCUUCUUCACCUUGGUGGCCUCCUCCCGGAGCUUCUGGCCCUUGCCGGGGCACGAGCUCGAGCCUGCGCUUCCCCCGGCAAGCUGUUGCGGCGCAGCGCGGGCCUUCUACGUUACCGGGCCGUCACCUGGUGAGCCUUCGUCUCCGUCAACGUCCUCGUCACCGGCGGCGGCUGCAGCGGCGGCCCUGACGACCUCGCCCACGCACCAGGCCGCGUCCUAGAGGUUGCACCUGAUGGAGAGGACUCCAUACACGGACGGCAUCAUCAUCACGCCAUAGGCGCCAUGCGUCGCCGCCAUGAUCUUGAUCAGCACUGGCCGACCAAGGAUCCCGUUGUAGGGCAACGGGGUGUGCGCCACGUCGAACACUAUGUGCUCGGUCCUGAACGCUUCCCGGGACCCGAAGGUCACCGACAGCUUGAUGCGCCCCAAGGGGCGCAUGAUCUCGGGGUUUACUCCCCGAAACGGGUCAGUGGAUUUCAGCUGCUCCACCGGCAACUGGAGUUUCUCCACCAACCUGACGGACAGGAGGUUUAGCCCCGCUCCGUUGUCCACCAGCACCUUGGUCACUGUCAUCUUGCUGAUGAUCAGUGAGACCACGAAGGGUAUGACCCCCGAACCCAGCUGCCGCGCUGGGUGAUCGUCGGCGCUGAAGGUGAUCGGCACGUGCAACCACCUCAGCGGCUGCUGCGGCUCCGCAUCCGGCAACAGCGCGCACACGUCGCGGGUGAGGCGCUUCACCGCGGCAUGAGAUGGGAGAGCGUAAGCACCCCCGUGGAUGCAGGCGAUGCCGCGGGGCUCCUGGAACCUCGGCUCGUCGACGCCAGUGCAGUCAGACUCCGGGGAGGGCGCUCCCUGCUAGCGCGGGCCUGGCUGCGUCCUCCCUGGGCUUCCUCCCUGGGGUCGUUCGGGCAAUCUCGGGAGAGAUGCCCGAUGUCACCGCAGUUGAAGCAGGCAUCGGCUGCUCGGCGCUCCUCGUGGCGUUGUUCGCGCAGUCCUGUGCAUCGUGGGUAGAAUUGGCAUGGAUGGGGCAGCGGGGUGCAUCGCCCGGCUGGCCGCAAGACCAACCACCGGGCGAGGCCUUCUUUGCAGGCCUCGCAGCAGCGGCCCCCGAGUCAGCAGCGAGGACUUGCUUCCCGCUGCGCUCGCGGGAACCCUUCUUGUGCGAACCCUCUCCUGGGCUCGCGGCAGCUUGUGCGCCAGGGCGUACAGAUCCUGCGUCGUCCGGAUCCGAUGCGUGCUCAGCUUCUCGCGCAUCUUGGGGUCGCGGACGUUGAUGGCGAAGGUGUUGACGAUGGCGGCAGCCUCCGCCUCCGGGAUGGAGUAGGAGAGACUGGAGAAGCGGUUGACAAAGCUCCGCAGCGUCUCUCCCGGCUUCUGCACGACAGUGUACAGCUCCGCCAUGAUCCCUAAGUGCUUGUAACCGCCCUCAAAUGCACUCACAAACUGCUCGCGCAGGUCCGUCCAAGUGGCGAUAGACCCAGCGGGCUGGUUGAGCAGCCAGGUUCUCGCUGAUCCUUUCAGGACCAUCGGGAACCAGUUGGCUCUAACCUUGUCGUCGGCGCCGAUGGCAUCCAUCCCCAAUGUGUAGGUCAGGAGGAAAUCCUUGGGAUUCACGGUCCCAUCGUACGUACCGAGCGCGGGCGCUCGGAACUUGCGGGCCAUGUCACCCGCUGCAACUCGCGAAUGAACGCAGUGCAGCCGUCCUCGGGGCCCAUAGGAGCAUCUUCCUGCUCCUGCGGGCAUUGGUGCUCUACCUCGCGCCGAUGCUAGCGCUCCAGGCACUAGCGCAGAUCCUCUUGCUGGCGGGCAUUCAAAAUGCCGCGCGUGUCACCUCGCACGAUGGUGGGUGACGAGUCCGACGACCCCUCCAGGUCCCCGUCUCCCUGGCCUCCCUGCGGGGGAGGGUUUUCCCCUUGUCGCGAGGCGCGGGGAGCGUCUCUGAGCUCUGGGUUCUGCCCGCGGCCGGAGCCUGCCGGGACGCCCUCGCCCUGCGGCUGUUGGGCGGCGAGCGCGACGAGCGCGUCCAACUCCUCGCCCCAUGUCUCGUGCGCCGACGUGCCCUGCUGCGGCUCGUACUGCACCAUGACCUGCGCGGCGAUGAUGGCCUCCGCUGGGGUUCGGGCGGGGGGCAGCCGGUUUCCCGAGCGGCUGCCCUCCGCUCUAUCCCCAGACGCACCUGGGUGCGCGGGGUGCGACCCCGCCGGCGUCACUCGCGACGCAGUAUGCUCGUGGCGCAGCUGAUGCUGCGCGCCUUCAGCCCGCGAUUCGACUCGCUGGCCGGCGCGGGCGGCACCAUGUUCGCUCGCACGGCUGGCCCCGGCACUGGGGGCCGCCGGCCCCCUCAGCCGGUUAUCCGCCGACGGCCAAGGAGGUGGGGGCAGCAGCUGCGAUUGCUGCGCUCGUGAGGGUUCAUGAUUUUCCUGAACCCGCGAUGCGGGUUGCGCGUCGUGGGACCGCGUGUGUGCCGCUGGGCCUUCACGCGGGUCGAUCCGAGGGUCACCAGCCCGCUUGGGAGGCAUGGUAGUUGGCACUGUCGUCGAGGAAGACGAGGCCGAUGUUGGUGUAGACGCUGCCGCCGGCGGUCACCGGCGAGCUCUCCUCUCGCGCCCCCUACCUGGCACGCCAGAUGUCGUCGCACGGGGCUUCGACACCGGGGAUGCGCAGGCACCCCCUUUUUAGGUUCGGUAGUGGGCUACGGGGAUCGCUCCGGCGAUCGCCGGCGAGGCCAAUGCGAAGCGUAAGAAUGCACCAAGAACGCAUGCACACGCUCUUUACCCAGGUUCGGGCCACCUUGCGGUGUAAAACCCUACGUCCUGCUUAUCUGAGCUCGUAUUGUCGUAAGAUCGAGUGUUUACAAGUUGCUGGGGAAGGAUCCCCGAGGACCCUUUUUUCGGCUAAGUGCACCUUGCUACUUUGGGCUACUGCUAGUGUGGUAUUACGAGUUGGUCCAGCGAACGAACGAACCAACGAACCUUUUGACCGCUGGCGGGGGUCCUCCUUUUAUAGCCAAGAGGAUACCACAGGUGCCACGGUGCAUGGUUUACAAGUGGCGAGCAAGGAGCUUGGGCAGCUCCUCCUCGGUGCGCUGGCAUGCAUGCACGAGCGCCAACCCCGCGGCUAGGGGUCCAAGGCCUAAAGACUAGCCCUGGGCAGUCACUGUUUGUCCGACUAGACGGAUAACGCCCCUCCUGUCGGCUCGUUAAAUGUGCCGUGCGUCUCACUCCUUGUCCUGACGAUCCUGCACACUGGGCGCCCGCCGCGUGCCCACGUGGAGCUGCUACUCUGUCUGCUCAGCCCUGCCCUCGCGCGGAAGCCCGCGCCUGGGAACGCCUCCUCCCGGCAAGUGCCUUCCCGGGAGGUGCCCAGGCGGGAUUAGUCCCCGAAGCCCCGCUAGCCCUGUCGGGCUGGUAGCUUGCCGGGCGGCUUUCACGCCACCGCUCGUGAUGAGACCCUUCCGGGAACCCAGUGAUGCGACCCACGCGUCGUGUAGCGGUGGUACCCCGAGUGUCACUGGUGCGACAGGAUCCCAGCGUGGAGCGAGUGCGCUCUAGGCGGGAGCAGCCAAUAAGGUUCGUCCUCGCUGGUGAUACCCUUCACCCAGAAUUGCACUUCCUCCGGGAGGAGGUCCGUGCGCUGUAGCCGGGUCCGGCCGCCAGCCCCGGCGUACAUCCACGCCGGAUGCGAGCGCCGCUGCAGGGGGGCCACGCGCCUCCCGAUGAAGUGGCGCGCCCCAUCCGUGUCCGUGAGCCCGGCCUCACGAAGCGUCUUGAUCUUCGCACAGAUUGGGGCCAGCUCCUCGUCCUUCUGGUCGCAGAGCGUCCAGCUGUUAGAGCCCCUUGGAGGCCCAAGGGGCUCCUCGUGAAACUCCUGGAGCUCGUCGGUGCGCACCCAGCACCAGUCGCGGCACCACUCGUGCUUGAUCUUCUUCUUCCCCAGCUCGAUGAAUUCCGAUUUGAUCCUGUCGCGGAAUUGGAACACUACACCCGAGGACAGGGGAGCCUUCUUCUCCACCCUCGGGUAGUAGUCGUGGUGGAAUAGCGCCACCGACAGCAUCACCCCCACGAACGCUUCACAAAGGUGUUGGAAAACAGCCAAUGUGAAGAACGACGUGGGGUGAAGCUGCGCCAUGAUGAGCCCGUAGGUCUCCAUGAUGGCUGAGAGGAAGUAGGAGUGCGGCGGCAUGAACCCGGCAAGGAUGAACCUCCCGAAGAUCCGAAAGUAGUGCCCGUGAUGCUCCGCGCCGACGGGGAGGACCCGCGUUGGUCCGUGCUCGUUGUGCUUGGUGGCCAGUGCCAGGACCAGCUUGUCGACUCCCUCGCCGUUGUACCCGGGGGAGAAGAAAGCGUACUUGGCUCGCAUUUCGUCAUCCUUCCGGGCUCUGUCCGACAGCUCCUUCUUGCCGGCCUUUUCGCGCUUUUCCCCUUUGCUGCUGCUCCCCUUGGGAUGGUUCUGACCCUUGGAAGACAUCAGCGGAGGUGGAGAGGAGAUUUGGUCAAAGUUGGGGCGCAGGGAGCUUGGGAGGAGGCAAUGGCAGGAGCGAGAGACAAUGGAGAGUGCCCGCCUCCGGCCUUGAGUAUUUAUCGGGGCUGGCAGACUGCAACGGACACCCCCACGAUCAGCAAUAAAGAGCCCUAAAGAAUCGGAGAUUAAGAGGAGGGUGCGCGACGUGGCCUUAACUCUCUGGGGAUUAAGGGGGAUAAGGUACGAAAUCGUGCGCCCGACCGUUUCGCUUGGAGAAGUGGAACUAUAAAUGCGGCCCACGAGGCACUUGCUGGAAGCUUCAAGGUUGCCGGCCCACGCCCGGGGGCUACUGUGGUACCAGUGGCCCACGGGGUCCCACUGAUACGGGACGCGUGGGUUGCCAGUGACGAAGCCCCAUCAGGAAGGACUCCCGGGAAGCGACGAGCCCGAGAAGCCUGCCUCGAGGAGACGACCCCUAGUGAAGCUAAAGCUAAGGGCCGAGAACAAGAUGCUCCCGGGAACCCCGGUCCCGGGAAGUCGAAGGAACGCCCACCGGCAACUAACCGGUGCGCUAGCUGGGAAGGUGCACCCCAGCAACCCGCGCUCGGGCAUGCAGGCGGGACCCGCAGAACAAUGAAGACAGGACAAGACGGCGGGUGCAGUGCAUUUAAUGCACCGACAGGAGUCUUAUCAGCAGGCCUAGUCUUGCUUAGCAAGGCUAGAGCGGCUACCCUCAGAACCAUUUUUUUUUUCUACCGUAUACAGUGGACCGGGCGCUGCAUGGCGUCCAGCGUGGAUGAGCAAAAGUGUAUUCCGCGUGGCUGUGACACGCGUCUAGGCAACGUGUCAUGCUGCAUGCAUUGGCACCUGUGGUAUCCCCUUGUCUAUAAAAGGAGGGCCAAUGCCACCGGUCAAAGGAUUCAGGUCGGUUCGAACCCGAGUGAGUAGAACAUAGCACAGCGUUCACCUAAGUAGCCAACCCGGGAACUCCCCGGGUGAUCUGUACGCACUCAAACUUGUGAAUACAACUCAAAGCAGGACGUAGGGUAUUACACCUCCGGGUGGCCCGAACCUGGGUAAAAACUCUUGUGUCUAGUCUUCGUGUCUAUCGCCACGCCGGCGAUCGCCGAAACGAUCACCUCGCCCUCCACCGCACCAAAAAGGGGGUGCCCGGCAUCCCCGGUGCCGGAGACCGUGCUCCAACACCUCUUGCGGUUCCCUCACCCCUCUAACGGUGAUUAGCUUCUUAGGAAGUGAACAUCGGGAUAAAUCAUCGUCUCCACGUGCCUCGGAUAUUCCUAAACCGAGUUCAUUCACUUGUGCUUUAAUUUUUGAUAGCCAUCGUGCUUGAAGUCAUAUAUUAUCUUAUAGAGUGAAAUACACCACUAGUCCAUAAACUUGGAGCGAAUGCACACUUUAGUCCACGAACUCAGAAAUGCACACAUAAAAUCCUAAACUGGUAUUAGUGUAACACUUAGGUCCAAAAACGGUUCGGCAUGAUUAGUUUCGGCCCUGUGGCAGCUACAUCAGCUUAAGUCGCAUCGCAAGUUGCUAUUUGGGUUUUUGAGGUCUUUUUCGCAAAAAAUUAACAUAAUUCUAGGAAAAAUUUGACAUAAUGUUCCGCGGGUUGUUGUUGAAUUAGCAAACAAUUAACAUAAUUAUGUGCAUGUUGUUGUUAAACUUUUGCAAAAACUCCCCUGAGAAACCCCAGCAGCAACCCAUGGUCAUGGCUUAAGCCCAUGUGGCCGAAAUUAACUACGUCGAACUAUUUUUGGACCUAAGAGUUGCACUAAUACCAGUUUAGGGCUUUAUGUGUGCGUUUUCUGAGUUCGUGGACUAAACUGUGCAUUUGUUCCGAGUUUAUGGAUUAGUGGUGUAUUUUACUCUAUCUUAUAUGUGCUUUGUGCUAUCUUAUAUAUCUUGUGCUAACUUGUUAUUUAAUAUAAGUGAUCAUCUUGUUAUAACUUAAGUUGUUGGUGCACUAUAGUUGAGGGUAGCAUAUUUAGGAUUUGUGCUUGAAAAUAUCCGACUAGUUUAAUUCCGCAUUUAGAAUAUAUAGAGCCAAGUCCGUAAAAGUUUUAAAACACCUAUUCACUCCCCCUCUAGGCGACAUCGAGGGUCUUUUCACUUACAUGAUUACAAUUGAUAUAUUAAUUGUUUAGCAUUACAUGCUUGAAUAUAUAUGUGUAGCAUUUACCUGAUUAGAUAUAUUUGUAUAGCAAUACAUGUGUAGAUGUAUGGUUUUGUCAAUACCUGUGUACCCAUACUUGUUUAGCAAUAUCCUAUUUAGAUAUAUCUGUUUAGAACUAUUGUGCAGAUAUUUAUUUUUUAGCCAUGCAUGUGUAGAGAUAUCGUGAUCCUUAUCAAUAUCAUGAAUAUUGUAGCAUCACCUGGGAUGAUGGCCAUUGCAUUGUUAUUGGAUUUUUAAUAGUUGUACCUCAAUUGGAAGUACACCUACUUACUGUUGCGACUCACCUUUCACCUUGGUCAUAAUCCCUUGUAUUAACCAGUGAUGGUAAUUAAUUACUUUAACAAUAAAAUUGGGCAUAAUUCUUGUUGAGUACUUUAUGUACUCAUCCCCUGCUUAUUUUGGUUCAGCUGUUACUAUUUCCUUGCCUGAAGUUGAGCACUACGAGGACAGUUCAGUAGAUGUUUUACCCACCUCAGCUAUAGCCCUGUGUUAGAUGGACGCCAUGGUUUAUCUUCGGCCAUUCUAUGGCGACAAUUUGUAUUCUUUCCGCUGCUCUUUAUUUAUUUCCGCUACUACUCUUGUUCGUAUUUGAAGACUUCUAUAUUUUGUUAGCGUGUCACAUCAGUGUUGUAUAAAUAAAUAAUCCGAUAUGUAUGUAUGUAAAGUUUGUGAUGUGAUACUUGAAAAUGGAUAUGUAUGCAUACUGGCUAUCCUGGGAAAGUAUGAUGAGGAUAUCCCGGUCCAGGAAUACUUAUUUUAUAUUAUUCUGGGGUUGAUUAUGCUAUUGCCAUUAAUUGGACAUCGGUAUAAUUAAGCUUAGUAUAAUCUAGUGUAUAGUAAUCCCGUUCCGUUAUAGUGUAAAUUCUAUCCAAUAAAAAUGUAGUGGAGAUGACAAUGAAGUUCGUGUGUUUCCUAAUCUCAUGUUUUUUAUCCUACAAAAUCAAAUAGGCAUGUUAUGCUCAACCCUUCAAAAUAACACAGUUAGCAGCUUAUGACCAAGUCACAACAUCGUCUCUUUCUCGUUGCACUUUGCUACAGAAACCAAAAAUACUACAGUAAAGAAACCAUGGUAAAAUCCAACGCACCCACAAUGGAAUUGUGCGACAACAUAAGACAUCAAAAGAUACACACCUACGCGCAAGCUUUGCUUGGUCCAGAGAGGGGGGGGGGGGGAGGGUGCUAGGCGACAGAGUGCAUCGAUAGCCGCACCACGAACUGUGAGACCUACUUAAAACUCGAAACCUCAUCCAUCUGAUAUUCGCAACAUCAAAGUGUCGCAUGCAAAAUUGUUUUUCUAUGUUUCAAACAUCGUUACCCAACUUGUCUCAAGAAACACCUAAAACCUUGCAAUAUUUCUUUCAUGCCCAUGUAACAAAGAAUUAUGUGUAUGCAACAAAUCACAAUGCAUAUAGCAAAACACCUAUAGAAAAGGUCGCAUCAUAUGCAGCGUAAAAACCAAUGUUUGCAACAUACAUAGUGUAUGCAACAAUGAGAAAAAACAUUUGCAACAUCAAAAACAAUAUUCCCUCCGUUUCUUAAAUUAGGGCGUAUAUUGUUUCCUUUGACCAAGAAUUAAUCUACUAAUAUAUAUUUUUGUGAAAUAAAAUUGAUAUCAAUGCAUUCGUAUUCAAAAGUACUCCCUUCGAUUCUAAAUUCUUGUCAUUAUUUUGAACUAAAACAACGACAAGAAUUUAGGAUCGAAGGGGAUACUUGUUUAUGUAUGAUUUAAAUCACAUAAAUCACACUUCGAUGGAAUAAUCCUUGGUCAAAAGCUCGGUAAAAAAAACAAUAUACGCUCUAAUUUAAGAAACGAAGAGAGUAUCUCGUACACACAAGAAUCGUUACAACAUAACAACCUUGUGUCCAUAGCAAAUAAUGAGCAUGCUUGUAACAUGUCGAGAAACCAUUUGCAACAUCAAAAUUUUCAAAAUUAUUGAUCUUCCACUGGCACACAUCUGGGACGGCACCUUCGCAAGUUUGAACUCGCUGGCGACGAAGCCAGUUCGCCCGAGUAUUGUCUAAGGCGAAACAGAUGAUCACGAACUCAUUCCCCUCAAUCCCAAAGUGUUUUAAAGCUUAAACAUCAAUAUAAACUUUAUGGAAUUGUCAAUGCCACAAGCAACAUGGAAACUGAAGAGAUGUACUAGCUCGGAAGGAGGAGUCAAAAGAGGCACAGCUAAUGGAAGGAACCGCCGGCAUCGAACAGAGUAGCAGCCUGCAGCGGCGGUUACGAGGAAGAUGGGAGUCUAGUGACGAGAGGAAAAACACAAGGCACGCGGGACGCCGCCGCCGCGAGAGAGAAUCGUUUCCAAAAACAGAAAAAUUCGCACUAGAGGCCCGAAAUUCCCAACGAAUCCAUGCUACCUGGCAUGACUGAAGCCAUUUUUACCUAUGUACUGCAAGAAGCUAGAAUGUUGAAUUCACGCGAUGCUACUGCACACGAGUAAAACAACGCAGGCAACACGAGCCCCCCGGGCUCAGCUACAGCUGGAACCAACUCUCCCCCAAGCACUGGAUGGAAAUCUUGACCUCUUGGUCAUGCUCAGCUCAGCCAUUACCUGCGUCGUCCGUGCAACAUGACAGCAGCAGCAGCACGAACCUAGGACAAUCAUUUCAGCGCCGACGGAUUCAGAUUCGUUUAUCUCCGGCAACGCUUCUCUUCGCCAGGCGUCAGCAGAUAGAUAGGUACUGCCUCUAUUGUCUGCACAGCACAGCGCAGCACAUAAGGUUUGCUACAUGAUCUAUUCAUCUGUGGCGCCGGAAACAGCAGAAAGGAACACAGCUCUGACGCAGCCGUGUUCCUGCGGCUCCGUUGAUCAACAACUCAACGUCUUACCAAAAGAAGGCACCGGGUCGAAACAAGCAGAUUACCAGCUCAAAACAGAGAGUAAACAAGUAGAGCAAACCAUCAUGGAACGGAACGAUUCAACAACACAAAAGCAGCUGAAGAACAACGGCACAGAAGACAGAACAAGGCGAUAAAUCGGAACAAGAAGAAAAUCAUACACUGACAACAGAUCGAAAGAGGUGUGAAGGUCACUGUAAUUCUCGCUUUGAAUCAACCGCCGUGACGAUAAGCCAUGCAUCAAGACCUGAUGAGGCAGACACCCCCGGCUAGUGGUUUCUUCCUGGACGGAAAUGAUCUGCUAACUGCACUGCAUUGCAUUGCGUUUGUGCGACAGAGAGAUACAGGAUACACCAUCGCCGGAGGAGAGUGAGACCCCUACGCCUCCGGCGAGCAACAGUAGCAAACAGCACGGACUGACACACCACCCACACCCACCGGACAACGCCGCCUCGCCUUGCCUCAUUUCCCACUCUGAAGAAUUAGGACAACACAGAACAGAGAAAAACACCCCCACAUUGAACACCACAUCUGGGACAGUGGAAAAGUUAGCGCAUCCUUUCCGUCCCGGCUCACACGAAGCCGACCUCGGCGAACUGCAGGCGCGGCUUGGACGUGGUGGAGCCAGGGCGCGGGACUGGCAUCAUGCCGUCCGGGAGCGGGUUCUUGCGCGGCCGGCCUCGCGGGCGCGGGACCUUCGGAGGCGCGUGUGGGUCCCUCGGCUUGGGAGGACGGCCGCGCCGGCGCGGCGCGGCAGGAGUUGCCGGGGCGACGGCUAGUCCGUCGCUAGGCGCGCCGAUGGCGGCAGGAGGUCCGCCGGGGUAUCCUGGCGGCGGGCGCACCUUCGGGGGCCGGCCGCGGCCUCGCUUGGGGGGAGGCGGCGGCGGCGCGUCGUCGGGAGAGCCGUCGUCGUCCUCCUCCUCCUCUUCUUCCGCCUCUACGGGGCGUCCCACCGGCGGCGGGGGGAGCGCGUAUUUCCCUCCGGCGACCGCCACGAGCCGGUCGGUGGCGGACAUGCGGGAGAGGUGCGCGGCGACGAGCGCGGGGUGCGACGGCGGGAGCUCGCCGGCGGCGCCGCGGGCCGCCUCGAUGCGGCGCGCGAUGGCGGCCUGGCUGGAGCCGUUAUCCUCGGCCAGCGACGCGAUCGCCUCCACGAUCAUCUGCACCCAAGCACAAGAAGCCAAAGAAGUCAAUUUUCGGAGACGGAUCGGGAUGCGCCGGGCGCAGAUCUGGCGAAAACAAAAAAAGGCGCAGGCAGCAGCUAGGGUUUAGUUUAGAGGGAGGAGGGGCGGUUUGCCUCGGGGUAGGAGGGGAGCACGGCGAGGUCCGAGGGCGCGGGGGGCGACGACUCGUCGCCGCUGGAAGUGGAAGUGGCCAUGCCUGGGCCUGACUGCGUCGCCCGCUCGCUGUCGCUCCGUGUGAGAGAGGGGGAGAGAGAGAGAGACUGGAGAUGGAUUUGGAGGGUUGGGAGGGGGUGGGAAUUGGGGGCGCAGCAGCGCACGGGGGCCGCGAGGCGGAUCUGAGAGCGGGGUGCGGGGCGCUGCGGAAAUAUGGAAUGGAAGUACAGUUUCGACAAGGAAUCUGUCCGGUCGGAUAGUAGUCCCGCUGCCCGGACCGGCGUUCCACCCGCGGCAAUGAUGAUCACGCCUCAGGCUCGCUCGUCACUCAUCGCUCAUCGGACAUGUCACUGCUUGCCGAUAGCUUGCAUUUGCAUGCCACGACAAAGUACUCCCUCCGAUUGGUUGGAAAAAAUUUGUUUACAUCUGAUUAUAAAUCUCCGAUUGUUGAAUAACCAGUACUCUUGUGUGCACAUAAAAUACUCUCCUAAAUUCUCGUCGUAGUUUUAGUUCAAAUUUUCGAAAGAAUGGAGUAGUUGAUAACUCGGGCUCAAAACAAACCAAACUUUUGCGGAAAUAUGGAUGUCGAUGUCAACUAUUGGUGGUGUGAUAAAGACUUGUUUUUUUUUGGCGCCCAUGCGAUCCCAUGUUUCAUAUGUCAAAAGCAUGCAAGAAUGGCAAGUGGAGAUUGAAGUGGAAGAGCAAGUUAUGAUGGAUGCAAACAACUUGAAGGAGGAAUGUUAAGGUGGCAUGGGUGAACUAAUGGUCAAAAUAGAAUUCAUCGUGUCGAGUGAUGAUCGUCUAUUGCACUUUUGGGAUAGCUUUAUAAUUGCGAAACACCUGGUGAUCGAACAAGGUGCCAAAUGUUGAUAGAGUUGUCAUCUGUUGUAAUGGCCGGCCGUUGGUCGUGAUGUAACAAGCUAAAGAGCAUUGCUAGUAGGCUAAAGCAUUGUUUCAGCCCUAGUCUUUUAUAUUUUUGUGUAAUAAAAUAACUUCAAAUGGAUGACAAGAGGAGCUCAUGGCGCAUCUUAAGGAAGAAAGCGAAAUAGGAAAAAAGAAACCUAUAUUCAACAACAAUUGUAGCCUUCUGCUUGUUUUGCCUAUGAAAUUGGAGCACUUUUUUAUAGAGCAAGAACGCUUAUUGUAGCAUUAUUUUGCAAAAUCAAACUUGAAUAUCUCUUUUCAUAUUAGGCGAUCGAGAAUCAUUCGAGAGUCAGAGAUCAAAGAGAGGCCAAUUCACUCUGAACAUGCAUGUGUCGAUAGGUUUAUCCUUGGACGGUCGAAGACCAUUCGAGAGGCACAAGUUAACUCCAAACAUACACAUGUCGAUGGACUUAUCCCUAUGAAAAGUAAAAUAGAAAAAAAAAUAAACUCAUCAUGUUCAUGGAUAGUGUCCAUGCAAUCAAAAGCUUGGUUGGCAGACAAAAGGAAAAACUGCUCCACGACAACUCAUUGGCGUUGAUGCCACUCUUUGGAGUCAAAAUGGUGAUGAAUGACGAGCCAAAUAGGAGAAUUUUUCUGACUAGCGUGAGAAGUUGCAAUUGCUAGAUGGCCGUGCGUGACAUUGACACACCGACAGCUAGAUGCCACGUCCAGCUUUCAUCCAAGGCGUGGGAAUGUGCAUCAUGUUUUACGCUGAGUCGGGAAUGCCCCCGGCCAGGUGGGGCCGAGGCUUAUUUUUUUUAGAACAACGAUUGCUGAGUCAUUCAUGUUUUAUCGUGGCUUUAUUGAUUUAUGAGAAAAAUACAAAAGAUCAAUACAGUCGAAAUUAACACUAGAUUUUUUUUUAUUUUUUGAAAAUCAACCAGGAUGUUGAUUAGUUACUGAAAACCGGGGUCUUACAGAGUCUUACAGUAUCCGGCAAAACCUCCUGGGGAGCAGAAUUAAGGAGGAAACGAGAAGACUUAGAGUUACGGCUGAAUUGUGCCAGCAGGUAGCAGGUGAGCUGCCUGGACCUGUCCCCGGCCCACUUUGCUGACGCUCAUCCUCGGGUUCUGGUAGAUCAAAAAUUCCGCCUCUUCAAUAACGUCGAACCAUCCGACUUGUCUCUUGUCUUAGCGUUGAUUGCACUGAAAAGCGGCGGAGCUAUCAGACUCGAGACCAAUUGGGAUGGAGCAGUGUCUUCGGGCCAGAGACGCUCCCUCUCUGCAAGCAAUGGCUUCAGCUUCGUCAGCGGAUCUGACAAAGUGCAGCAGCCCCAGGGCAGAGAACACCACAUCACCGUUGUUAUCCAGAGCAAUUGCUCCCCAGGCACCAGAAUUCUCGCCAGCUAAGAAGCUUGCGUCCGUCAGCAAUUCAAGAGAGUAACGCGGAGACGAUGACUCACGGUUUUCACAGUCACACGUUGUUUCAUCUCGUGCCACCAAAUUAAUUUAUUUUGUCCUAUGCUACAGAGAGAUUAGCAGGGAAAUUAGUACUUGCGACAAGCAUUUAUUUUCUUACUGACGACUCUUUAUUUUUCUCUAAUUUUCUCGUUCUCUGCAUCUCUGUCCUAUUUUCAAGUACAUUGUUCUCUCGUUCUCUGCAUCUCUGUCCUAUUUUCAAGUACAUUGUGGUACAUGACAUGUUUUUAAGUACAUAUUUAUACAUUAUGAUAAAUUAAUUGUAUCUUAUCAGUUUUUAAAUACCCCGUGUACAUGAACUUAUAAGACGAGUACAACGUAUGGUACAUCACAAGUAUCUUAUUAGUUUUUAAGUACCAUGUGUACAUAGACUUAUGAGACGAGUACAUCGUAUGGUACAUCACAUUUAUUCAAAAAAAACACAGUACAUGAUGAGUACAUCAAGUUACAUGACAAGUACAUCAAGAUACGUCACAGAUAAAUCAAGUUACAUGACAAGUACAUCAAGAUACGUCACAUAUACAUCAAGUUACAUGACAAGUACAUCAAGGGUACCUCACGCAUACAUCAAGUUACAUGACAAAUACAUUAAGGUACAUCACAGAUACCUCAUCAAUCCUACAUCAUAACAAUCCGAUGGAUCAAAGAGAAGAACUUGAAUUCAAAUUUAAAUUCAACAAAACCAAGUACCUAAGUACAUAUGUAAUCGAAUUCAACAAAGCAUAAUCACAGGAGAUAGAAAAUCCUUCGUAGGUACCUCAUCAAUCACAAUCACAGUACCUCGUCAUGUACCAUGGUACAUCACCUGUACCUCGACAAUUAUUAAGUACAUCAUCAUAUCUUGACAAAAUCACCAAGAAACAAAUAAUAGUACAUAGAUCAAAUAAAUUUUAGAAGAUACCUAAAGCACUGAGAUGCAAGAAAAAUUCUCAAUUCAAAAAAAAAUCACAGCAGCAACAUCAUGCACCGGGACAAAAAAUCAGAUCGAGAGAUGCGGAAGGAGAAUAAGAUCGAGAGACGUGGAAAUCUGCUGCUCCAAACGUGAACAACGCAGUGGAGGGAGCCGCCACGGGGGAGUGGGAGCCCAGCAUGACGGCCAUGGUGGAAGAGGAGGCAGCAGGGCGGCUUGUCUGCCGCGCUGGAGGAGGGGCCGGCGUCCGCGACGGCCCGCAGGGGCGGCGGCCGCCGAGCACUACUACAAAACGGUCUAUAUGCCACGCAACAUCAGUAAUGGGUCCGGCGCGACCGUUACUGAUAAAAAACAUCAGUGUCGGUCGCGGCCACGACCGUUACUGAUGAACCGAGCGGGAACCGUCUGUCCCCGCCCAGCCACACAUCAGUGGCGGUCGCGCGACACGACCGCCACUGAUGAACACUCAUAGCUCGCGAGUUACAUCCACUGAUGAACCAUGCAUCAGUAACGGUCGGACUAGCUCGACCGUUACUGAUGUGUACACGAUUAUCAGUAACGGUCGAGAAAACCUCAACCGACACUGAUGUUACUCGCGUAUUAAGUACGAUGUGCGAAGCCACAACUGGUCGCGCCGCGCGUCGUGACGGACCAGCUGUGGCCCCUUCCUCUCUGGCGACGGCGACCCGACCGCGCCAUGGCCUCCGGCAACCACCCUAGGUGCGCCCUCCUCCCUCCCCCCCGCGCCGGCGACGCCGCCUCCAUGGCCGGCGAGCGGCCGGCGCGCUCCGAUCUUCGAGCCCUAAGCUUCCCUCUCCCUCCCGAUGUCUCUCCCCCCCCCCCCCGAUCUCUCUCGCCGGCCUCAAUUUCUCUCCGAAAUUUCCCAAUUUAAAAUUUUUGAGCUCCGCGGUCGCCGGCUGAAAUGCGGCGUCCUCAUCGUCACCCGGAGCUUCCUUCUCGCUUGCGUGCUCUCUCUCCCUCCUGAUCUUACUCGCCAGCCUCCAAUUUCUCUCCGAAUGUCUCUAAUUUCAAAAUUUUAGUUAGCUCCGGUUAAUUAGCACAUUAAUUUCCUUGUCAAUGAUUAGGCUAACUAUUUUGCUUUUUUGUUUUCUUGUGAAUUGUGUUGUAGAUCGAAGGAUCGUUCUUGGAUGUACGCGAAGGAAAGAAUCAAUGCUCGAUGGAUAACCGAAUGGACGGUCUUUUUUGGAGUCAUGAAAGGUGAUAUGGAACGAAAAGGACUUUUGAUGAUGCGUUGCCCAUGUCGCAAAUGUGGAAACACAUGCAUGAUGAAGCCUGAAGAUGUUCAGAUGCACGUGCUGGCAUCGGGUUUUGUCGAUGGUUAUUCUCGCUGGACUUGUCACGGGGAGGAUGCGGUUGAUGUCGGUAGCGGUAGCGAAGAUGAUGAUGUCCUGCGGUAUGAUCUGGUGAAUGAUUCUGAGAAAGAAAUAAGGGUCGAUGAGGAGGCUAAUGUGGAAGGUGAAGUAGCUCCACGUGGCAGGAUUGCCGAAAUGCUAGAUGACCCGUACCUACGGGACCAGCUGGAGGACCCCGAAGAUGAGGCAGAGUCUGCUCAGUUCAAAAAAUUGUUGGAGGACGUAAACACACCCUUGUAUGAUGGAGCUGGCGAAGAAAACAACGUGCUCGAAGUGACGCUCGAACUUUUGAGGCUGAAGGCAGCAUCAUGCUGGUCGGACAAGGGCUUCACGGGCUUGUUGAGUUACCUUGCUUCGGUUUUUCCACAGCCAAAUAAGUUGCCCAAGAGCAGAUACGAGGCGAAAAAGAUUACAUGCCCGCUCGGAUUGGAUUGCGUGAAACAUCAUUCAUGUCCAAACGACUGCAUGGUAUACAUUGGAGAGUACGAGAACCAUGAGAGCUGCCACAUAUGCGGUGCAUCGAGAUACAAGAAGAAAAACGCCAGAGCUGGCGAAGACGAUGGGGAAGAAGUGAUGAAGGGCAGGCCGGCAAAGACUGUCUGGUAUCUUACGAUAGGUGGCCGAGUUGAGCAUUGGAUGCAGAACGUUAAGGAUGCGAGGUAUCUCGUCUAUCACGAUCCGGCGCAGGCUGCAUUCGAUCCUGACGGGCACUACCGUGUGGAGGAGGCUGGGGUCCUAAGACACCCUGCCGAUGGGAUUCAGUGGAGGAACUUGGACACGUCAUUUCCAUAUUUUGGGGCAGAGCCCAGAAACCUGAGGUUCAGUCUCAGCACUGACGGGAUAAAUCCUUUCGGAAACAUGAACAACAAGCACAGCACAUGGCCAGUGAUUUUGUUCGUCUACAACGUUCCUCCAUGGUUAAUCAUGAAGAGAAAGUACAUCCACAUGUGCAUGCUCAUACAGGGUCCAAAGCAGGCAGGAGCUGACCUAAAUGUGUGUCUGCAGCUAGUGAAGGAUGAGCUGAAGCAGCUUUGGAACCCUGGCAGAGUGGUUUGGGACGCAAACAGGAGGGAGUACUUCACGAUGAGAGCAGCACUUCUGACGUGCGUGCAUGACUACCCUGUGAAUGGAAAUAUUUCAUGCCAGGUGACACAUGGCUACAAGGUCUGUACAAAGUGCGGGGAAAAUACGACAUCGAAGAAGUUGCCCGCUUCAUCCAAAAUUGUGUACAUGGGCCACCAAAAGUGGUUGGAUGCUAAAGACCCUUGGAGGAAUGACAAGGAAAGGUUCAAUGGAAAGAAGGAGCACGGGACAGCACCGAAGAAGAAGUCUGGUAUGCAAAUCCUCGAAAUUGUGAAUGAUCUUGAGGUUGUCCCCGUAGAUUGCUGUGAAGAAAUAUAAGGAACCUGAAGGCGUCGUGUGGAAAAGGAGGUCCGUAUUCUGGGACCUGAAGUAUUAGGCACAUUUAGAAUGCCGCCACAGCAUAAAUGUCAUGCGCGUGGAGAAAAAUGUAUGCAACAGCGUGCUGGGGUUGUUGAUGAACAUUCCAGAGAAGACGAAAGAUGGACCCAACGCACAGAAAGGACCUGGAACUCAUGUCUAUCAGGAAAGAGUUGUGGGGCAAAGAUCAAGUGUCGGCAGCCGACAAGAAUGGUUUCGUGACGGUGACCAUGCGGUGUCGUCUUGCAUGGUACAACCCGUACAAAGACGAUUUGCAUAGGAUGUGCUAGUGCCUGCAGGGCAUUAAAGUCCCAUCGAACUACUCAUCGAGCAUCAAGCAUCUAGUUGACAUGAAGAGUCACAAGCUAUCUGGCAUGAAGUCUCACGACAACCAUGUCAUACUCACUCAGUUACUUCCAGUCGCAAUCAGAGGUAUCAUGGAGCCGCACGUAAGGGAGACAAUCAUGAAGCUUUCUGACUUCUUUGACAGCAUCUCGCAGAAGUCAAUCACCGUUAGACGAUGCCAGAUACUGAAGGAUAGUAUGAUACAGAUUCUGUGCGAGCUCGAGAUGUUCUGCCCUCCAUCAUUCUUCAAUAUCAUGGUCCAUCUAAUGAUCCACAUAUGCGAUGAGAUCCUGUCCCUAGGGCCCUCGUUCCUACAUAACAUGUAUGGCCCUGAACGAUACAACGGGGUUCUGAAGCGGUAUGUUCGUAACAGAUCGCGUCCGGAAGGUAGCAUCGUGGAAGGCUUUAGGGCAGAAGAGUGCAUCGAGUUCUGCACGGAUUGGUUGGCCAAUCAAAAAUCAAUAGGUGUUCCCGAAUCACGACACAAGGGCAAGCUCGAUGGCGAAGGUGGCCUUGGACAUACAUACCUUAAUGUCUAUGGAAGAGGAAGGGAAGCUGACUUUGAAAGAGCACAUUUGGUUGUGUUGCAAACCGUCGAUUGCUGCCGGCCUUAUCAGGAAAUGCACAUGGAACAACUGCGAAAUGAAAACCCUAAAAGAGGAGAAGUCUGGAUCCACUGGGAGCACAAUAAAACAUUCGCAGUGUGGCUGAAGAAUUAUUGGUACGGCAGGGAGACGACCAAUGUAUCAAAAGAGACGGUUGCAUGUUUGUCACGGCAACCUGCUUUCCACGUCUCUACUUGGCAAUCAUAUGCGAUCAACGGUUAUAACUUCUACACUGCGUCUCAGGACCGUAAAAGCACGUAUCAAAAUAGUGGUGUAGUCAUGACUUCUGAGACCGCGACCGACGACAACAGCAAAACCGAAGCGUUCUUCGGCGUUAUCGAGGAGAUCUGGGAAUUGGAGUACUCGAUCACAAAGAUCCCAAUGUUCCGUGUAAGAUGGACCAAAGGUGACAAAUAAGAAAGUCACAGGUUCACGACGAUGGUGCUACCUCCUGAGAUCCCUCAUGAACAAGUUGACGUGACAAAAAUCCCGGCAAGAGAGGAACCAUGGGUCUUUGCUCAACAAUGCAAGCAGGUAUUCUAUAUAGACGACCAGGCAAAUAAAGGCCGCGUCGUAGUAAGAAAAGGGAAAAGAAGCAUUGUUGGAGUGGACGGAGUUACUUCACAAGAAGACUACGAAGGUUUCCAUGAUCCGACGACCGUCGCAGAUGACGAAGAAGCGGAACGCACGAUAUUAACGAGGAAAAGAAGAGAGAAAAGAAGAAGUGAUGGGAGCGACAGCGAGAAAAUAUCACAAAAACCCUACCUCAGAAGCAGUUCUGCGAGGAGUCAAGUUAUGACUUACCGAAGGAAGGAGAAGCACUAGUAGUCACAUUGUAAAAAUGUACUCGUACUGAAUCUUAAUGCAAACUUUGUACUAAGUGGAUUUUUUGAAAUUUGUAUGCAUGAAUUGAAAUUUCUACUAGAGAAAUGCAUGAAUACAAAUUUGUACUAGAGAAAUGCACAAAUACUAGAGAAAUACAACUCCCAAGAAGCAUAGCAGCACAUCAGUAACGGUCGCAUAGUGGUUAACCGUUACUGAUGUAUAGGAGCACAUCAGUAACGGGCCGCUACUAUGCGACCGCCACUGAUGUUCUUCUAUACAUUAGUAACGGUCGCAUCCCUUAUGCGCCCGUUACUGAUGUGCAUGGGGUAUAAAAGGGAACCCGCCAAACACUUAGAACCAUUGUUGCCUGCGCGUCCUCACCUAACCCGAGAGACCAGUUGCGGGUGUUCCUAACCCUAGCCGCGGAAGCGCCGCCGGAUUUUCGCGCCGCCACCGCCUCCUUCCUCCUCCGCCCCCGCGCCUCCCCGUCCUCGACCGGAGCCCGCCCCCGACGGCCUCCUCCGCCCCGAGCCCGCGCCUCCCCGUCCACGACCGGAGCCCGCCGCCGACGGCCUCCUCCGCCCCCGCGUCGUCACCGAGCCCACGCCCGCGCCGUCUCCGUCCUCCCCACAGGUGCGCGCCUCCUCUGCCUCCUUCUCUGCUGUUAAUUUAGGGUUAGGGUUAGGAUUAGGGUUAGGAUUCUAAUAAUUUAGUUCACUGUUAGGGUUUGAUUCUACAUGUUCACUGUAAGGGUUUGAAUUAAAGAGCAUGAUUUGAAUUAUGUAGCUAUAUAAUUUAGUUCACUAUUAAGAUUUGAAUUAUGCAGCUAUAUAAUUUAGUUCACUAUUAAGGUUUGAAUUGUCUAGCUAUAUAAUUUAGUUCACUAUUAAGGUUUGAAUUAUCUAGCUAUAUAAUUGAGUUACAUGGGCACACGUAUUGUGAAUCAAAGAGCAUGAUUUGAAUUACAAGGAGCCUUGCUGCUGCACAUUAGCCUUCCUGCUUAUAUUGUUUAGCCUUGCUGCUUAUUCAAGCCACCUUAACAUGUUGUUUACUGUUGCUGCUAUAUAAUUAGGUUCUUUAUAUAAUGCUGUCUUAUAUAUUCUUUGUUGCUGUUUAUAUGUUGCUGUCAUAUGUAUACAAGUGUUAGCUUGCUGAUAUGUAAGAGCAUGAUUUGUAGUUUGUCGUAGUGGAUAAUUGAGUUAGAUGGGCACGCAUGAGUAUAUGCAUUAUAUACAUGAUUUUUUAUAUGCUAUAUACACAUGAGUAAUGAAUUGUGGGCCCGACCAUCGUGUCAGGUCAUUCGAGAAGAGGCUGGCCAUCGUGCCGAGGGGGUACAUAUGCGGGUGGGUUUUUUAUGCAGGUUUCGAGCUCCUAGUAGAGGAAAUUUGCUAGUUUUUUUAGCAUAAGUCAUGCCGAAAUUUUCGGCCGAUACAUAUUUGAUGGUUUUGAUGGCAUAGGUACGAAAUGGACAACAGUAGCCAGAACCUAGUUCUUGAUCGGGAGGAGGUAGAUCGUGUCAAUGAAGAGUCUUCAUCGGGAGAGCAAAUUGUCAGCUCUGGCUCAGGCCCCUCUAGAUCAGAAGAGCGCAACAACGAGAGUAAUCUGCAACCUUCUGAAACUCUCGCUAAGAAGCCAAGGAAGAAGACGCCGAGGGGGAGCCACAACUUGAAGGAGUUCUGUUACGUGGUCACCCGGCACUCUGAUAGAGGCCGCCCGGAGUCGCCUGAGAGGGCACAGAAGGCCUUCGCAACGACUUGUGGAGCCGUUGCACGCCAGUAUUGCAAGAUCACCGACGAGUGGGGUGACAUCUCCCAAGUCGUUAGAGACAAAUGCAUCAAGGAAGUUGCAAGGAGGUUCCAAGUCACCGACGAGUGGCGCGAGCGAUUCCUAGCGGCCGUCAACAUAGCAGUCCGCAAUGGACUUGCUAAUUGGAAAACCACCGCUAGAAGGUGGAUGGACAAACCGUACGAGACCAUCAAGAAGAAAUGGCCGUCGGUAACUGAUGAGGCCGAAUGGGAAAAGUUCAAGAAGGAAUCGUCUGACCCUGCCUUCAUUGCGAAGAGUGAACGCAUGAGGGCGCUGCGCUUAAGGAAGCCCUUGAACCACAUGCUAGGGAGUGCAGGGAAAGAGGGGAAGAAGAAGGUCUAGCGCAAGCAGGACCAAAUUCUUGAGGUGGCAAGCAGGGUGCCUCCAGUGCAUGACAUGCUGGAGGACCAACGUGCUAGAGAAUAUGCACAUCAGCACAUGACACCCGAGCAGUGGGCGGGCAUUGAGCCAAUGCAGCCGCCUGUUAAAAAAUUUACGGUAAGGGUUCACGUGCAUUUAGUUGUUUUCGGCGUUAAUUAUGACACUCCUGAUCCAUAUAGACUCACGUCCCGUCUUAUAUGAUAACAGGAAAAUGCCCACAAAUGGGAGGAGAGCAGGAGGUCAGAAACCUCGACAACUCCGUGCAGAGCAAGAGGUGGGAGUCGGCUGUGACCGCCGGCUUGCAAAAGGUGGAGCACACGGGCCAUGUUCUAGGAGAAGGCGAAGGGGCCUGCUGGGAUGAUUAUUUCCCGCCUGCUCCGAAGCAAAGCAGGGUUCAGAAAAAGCUCCCCGCCUCUUCUGAGAUAAUAGAACAAGCUAAGGCGGAGGCGCGAGAGCAGGCAUCUAUCGUGUCUCAAGAGGUGUCGCGGGAAUAUGCAGUGCAAGCCAUCCAUCAUUUGGUGUCGGCAUUGGCCAAAGACCACCCCGCCCUUGGCGCCAUACUCGGGGGAGGAGUCGAAGGUUUGAGGAACCUCCUUCCUCCUCUUCCUCCGCGAAAGAGCACCCCGCUGAAGAGUAGCGCCGCCUCCGACACACGUAUGGAGGACGAAGAAACCUACACCCCAGGUUACAGCCCGGCUCCUAGCAUGGACAACCCCCCCGCUAGCCAACCUUUCCCAAGCGAGGCCAACCGGGAACGAUCAGGGUCCGAGCGACAACAUCCUUGUAAGCAAUCUUUUCAAACUCUUUUUCAAUCCUUACCUUCAUGAAUAAAGAUCUUACACACAUAUGCCUUCUUCUUGUUACGCGCAGACACUGGUGAAGUGUCGUAUCCACGUUGACAAGCCUGAGAAACCUGUAGGCGCCAUUGGCCGCCUGAUGCCCAAACAAUCACCGCCGCCGGUGCACGGCAUUCUCAUGAACGACGCACAAGUGAGUGUGAUGGUGGACUCCGUCGUCGACGACCAUCGGGAUUAUGCCAUCCCGCUACCUCCGGAGGAAGGCGUGGAUAUCCUAGGCGGUUGUCCAAACUACCGAAUUAUGUAGCCUAGGAGCUUGGUAUCCCUCUACAACCACCGCCGACCCUCUAUGACUCCAUCUCCCUCCGUCCAGAAAGGUACUUCUCAUUCGCCGCUCGGCCUUUCUGUUAGGAUACUUCCUCCUGUAGAUGCCGGCGGAGAUGAAGAGCGGGCAAUGUCGAUGCCUGCACAGCUCAAAGAUAGCCAGACCACAGGGUCGGCACAGGCUGGAAGCGUCCCUCCCACCUUCUCUCUCUUGGGUGCCGCUGAGUCCAUGGGUGGCCGCAAGAUCGAUGACAAGUACAAGGCAGAGGAGCAGAAGGCAUGGGACAGUAAGAGGAGGCAUAAAAAGAGGGGGCGCGGUGGCAAGACCAUCAAGGAGUCCUCCACUGUCACUCAAGAUGAGAUGCACCAUGUGCCUGACAUAAUUGGAGUCUGGGAGGACAAUAGGCCUGACAUUCUCAUCAAGAACCCAUAUCAAGGCCAGAGAUUCGAAGACGGAUCAUAUUUCGUGGCUAGGGAGUUCGACCGGGUGCUUCUUUACUAUCCUGGAAGACCGAUGGUCACCGAAGAUUCCCUGCGUGCCGUGUCCAGAGAGAUGCAAGAGCUUCAUCAGUUCUACAUGCAAGCAUCAGCUGGUUCUCAACAGCAUGCCCAACAGAUCAAUGUUAGAAUCCCAAAAGACUGUGACUUCUUUGACCAAGAAAUCGGGAAGAUUCAGGAACGUCCUAUCACCUUUGGUGUGGAGUUCAACGAACUGUUCCACCUCUUCAACCGCCAAAAGCUUGAUAUCAACCUCUUAAGGCUGUGGUCAGCCUACCAAAUAAGAGAACUGCGGCGAUUGGAGGUCAAAAAAGUAGCCAUUCUAGACCCCGCAUCGGUGACAUCGGUCUUGAGCAUGAAAAGGAUGUCUCAAGAACCAUGGCAUCUAAAUACUUGGUGGCAUGUCUCGAGAAAUACGCGGACGACAACUUCAUCCUCUUCUUCCUUAAUUUGGAGUAAGUUCAAUUUUAUAUAUGGAACCGUUUGUUUUUUCUAAUUCAGUCUUUCUUAUACACCCUUAGAUACUAAAGUUUGUUUCUUUUGAAAACAGAGACCAUUGGGUGACACUACUCAUUUGUUUGCCUUGGUCCGCGGUGCACUAUUUCGAUUCACUGCUUCCGAAGACGGGUGUUCGAGGUAGGUUCUGGAAGCCCAUCAAAUCACUCAUUAACACUGCCUGGAAAGUGGCGACCAAGGGAAAACUAGCUGGUAAAGGCUAUAAAGACGAGCCUCACCACAACCGCAGGUUUCCUUGCCAGCAACAGCCGCCCGGCAGUGUGUUCUGUGGCUACUACUGUUGUCACAUCCUUAUGGAGAAUGCCAGCAUGUUCAAGCCUGAGUGGAAGGGGUCAGUCGCGGCGAUGGAAGAGUACUGGCGGCCCCGAAUGAUAAUGGGACACCGACCUAAAUGGGUCGUGUAUAACAUUCAAAGGGAGUUCGCCCAUCUCAUAAACAAUGAGGUCAUCAAGCCUAGACUUCUUCGAACGCGUGGAACAAGUCGUGUCUAGGAUUCACCCACGACAAUAGAUUCAUUUGUAUUCUUUACAUGCUUUCAUGAAAUUUUGACACUUUGUAAUUAUGCUUCUAUGGAAUUUUGACACUUUGUAAUCAAUGUCGUGAAGUGUGAUACAUUUGUAUUCCUUAUAUGAUGCGGCUUAUAUACAAUUGUAUGCUUUAAAUGAUGUGAUGUGAUGCAGCUUUAUAUGUAUUUUUCUGUGAUGAGAUACAUUCUGUAUAUAAUUUGUUGUGAUGUAUAUAAUUUGCUGUGUAUUUACUGUGGUUUUAAUUAUUUUUUUAAAUACCGAAAACGUAUCAGUGUCGGUCGACCGACCGACAGUGAUGGGGCAACGCGACCGUUACUGAUGAUAUCAUCAGUAACGGUCGUGAAUGAGCGACCGUUACUGAUGAUGGGUAUCAUUAGUAACACUAUAUGAUUUUUCGACCGUUACUGAUAACCGUUUCUGUAGUAGUGGAGGCACGCAAGGGCGGCGCCCGCCUUGAGCUUGAGCACGCCUAGAGGUGCAAGGCGGCGUCGUGGUGAGGUUAGGUGGGCUGCGAGGGAGAGGCUGUGAGGGGAGAGAGAGACGAGACGAGAGAUAAAAGAAAGGUGCAGUUAAUUAGGGAGUAAAGGAGAGAGAAUUAAAGGAAAGGAAAGAUGAUUAAAAAAAAUGAAAAGACACAUAGUUAGUUACCAAGAUGGCGCUAGAUCGCGGGGGAGUCACCCGGAGCUUUGGCUUUAAGAGAGCCCACGUCCAGCGGCUUCCAAAAAACAUCCACAUUCUCCCUGUAAUUUGCCCCUAUCUUGGAGCAUAUCCGCAUUGAAGGUGCAUAUGCCCGUUAGGAAUUUCAGGGGUGGAGAACAUGUCCAUGUUCAUGGUCAGCAAGAAGUUUUUGAUUCCUCGAUAGUUUUGUCUCCUUUCCAAAAAAGAACAUCAUUUCUCAGGGACCAACAACUCCACCAGAGAAGAAGGAGGGAGGCUCUGGUAUCUCUGUCGAUCUGAUCGGGCAGGAUGAGCAUCCAGUUUUCCCCUUUUUUAGCCAACAUUCCGGAGGCAGCUUCCAAUGUUUAGGGAGGGCCGCCCAGAGCGCUCUGGCCUUAGUGCAAUUGUUAACGGCACGGUGCCCGUCUUCAUCCUCAGAAGCACUAAAUUUAUUCUUCUCAUUUUGACGUUUCUCGAGUCCAACUCAGGUGGUCUGAGUUUCUUGUGGUGGAAUCAACCCAUCCAGGUUCAAGUCCUAGACUUGACAUGGGUGUCACAUUUUCCUGAAUUAUUUCAAGAUUUAACCGGCGCUAUUUUUUUAGUGGUACGUGACGUACCCGUCAACAGCGAGGCGUCAGCGGUGACUUUAUCAAUCCCUUAAAACCUGCCGGGUGACUUUGUCAAUCCCUUAAAAUCUGUCGGCUUAGUCUUUCGAAGGUGCUUAUAGGAAUAGGGUGUGCCUUUGUGCGUUCAUAAGGGUGAGUGUACGCGCAUGUUGUGAGCGUCUUUCAGGAUUUAACCGGCACUAUUCUUUUAGUGGUAGGUGACGUACCCGUCAACAGCGAGGCGCCAGCGGUAACUUUGUCAAUCUCUUAAAACCUGCCGGUUUAGUGUUUCAAAGGUGCUCAUAACGAUAGGGUGUGUGCACGUGCAUAGAGGUGAAUGUAUGCGCGUGGUGUGAGCGUCUGCGUUUGUACUGUGUUUAAAAAAAAAUUGCGGACUACCAUGAUUACACAAUCUGAAUUAACCUCUACGUUUUGAAAAACCUCAUUCUUUUAGGGGAACUUGAAAACCUCAUGAGUCUACCUCAGACACCCUAGAAAAGCUGGACGUGGCAUCUAGAUUCAAUCCUUUCUGAUGGGCUGUGUUCCGUUUCUACAAGAGAAGAGUUCAUAGCCUCAUAGGCCCAUAAGCCCAGUAAAACCCUAAAGGCGCAGCCGGCGGUUCGCUGCUUGAUCGAACCAAGCCACCGAGGUCAACUCAGACAGAGGUCAGAAGAACAGCAAGGAAAAGGCGCUCCCACCGACCCAGCGACGGGGCGGUGAAGCCGGCGGCGGCGGCGCGGGAGCGAGCGGGCAUGGCUUUCUGGCAGGCGCGCGACUUCCUGUUUUGCAGCGUGUGCGGCACCCUCCUCGACUUCGACUCCGUCCGCUCCGCCUCCUGCCCUCUCUGCGGCUUCAAGCGCAAGGCCAAAGGUCUCCCUCCCUUUUUUCCAAGUCUACCCUGCUGUUCUUGGCGUCGUUGGUGCCGAACCUCGAGCUCCCGCUGCUUGCUCUUCUGGAGCUCCGAUUCUGAAGUUAGAAGGAGGCUACGUCGAUUCAUGGAUUGUUGAUCUGACGCAUCCUUGUAUUUGGUUAUUUAGUUUGUGGCUAAUGCAGACUCGGCUCUUGUUUUUUGCAGCGAUCGAAGGAAAAGAGACUCGGUACGCGGUCACCGAUGAGGUACGGCUUCGCGGCUCUCUCCUUAGCUUGCGAAAUCUUUUUUUUUUCUCCCUAUCGCCUGGAGCGUCCUAUCUCACCAGCGGACAGCUUGACACUAGUGUUAGUACUAGGGAUCCCUAUAUAAUUUAUACUGAUGAAGCUAGAAAACCCAUCUUCUUUUUUUUUGACAACAGCUAGAAAACCCAUCUAGAUAAAGGUGUGCUGAUUACUGAGUCUGCCUAACACUGCGCUACUUCCUAUACUUGGAUGCGAUGUUGAGUUUCCUGAAGGGACACUAAUCCUGCUAAGCUACUGGACUAGAGAUUUUUUUUUUUUGAAAGGAACACAGACUGCAUUCCAUUAACUUAAACGAGCUGGACAUACGCCAGCAACCAAGUCUUUUACAUGAUCAGGGAAUGGGUCAAGCCAUACAUGAUAGCUUCCCUGUUCCAUAUACAUACCAAACGCUGCUAGACAAUGUGCUGAUACAUUACAAGCUCUUGGACAAACUUCUAUCUUACAACAUUGAGAAGAGUACUGAAUUAAAGCCUUCAUUUCUCUUAACAAAACACCCAAACUUGAAUUAUCAUAGUCAUUGCUAGUCAUCGCUUGCUUAAGCGUACUUGCGUCUGUCUCCAAAAUGACCUUGUGACAUCCCAUUCUGGCUGCUUCCUGAAGCGCGUGAAGCAUCGCUGCAGUUUCUGCAUGAAGUGGAUCAGCAACCAUUUUCAGGUUACCUGCCCCUGCCACCAGAGCUUCACCAUGUUCAUUUUUUAUAGUAAAACCCCACCCGCCAAAACAAGAUGAUUGUAAGCCCCAUCGGUAUUAAUCUUCAGAAAAUCUGUUGGAGGAGGAGACCAAACCUGUUGGGUGCUCCUCUUUAGCUUCUUGCGCCUUGUCAUAACUUCACAAAACUCAGUAAGAUGGAGCUGAUAAGAGAAAAGAAUUUCAUCAAGGCUCCUAAUAUGAUUUCCUUGAUUUGCUUUAUUUCUUUCAGACCACCAGGUCCACAGCAGCACACAAGUCUUCAUGCAUGUCUCUUCACCCAGCUGAAAAAUUUCAUUCAUUAGCAAUCGAGCAUUAGGGCAAUUGAGAAGGAGUUUUCGUAUAUCUUCCAAUUGAGCUACUCUCCAAAGGGCUUUAACUGACUUACAUUUUAAAAAGCAAUGCCCACCAUCUUCAUCAAGUCUGUAGCAUAUUGGACAUCUCGUAUCUAGAUCUAUACCCCUUCUUUUUAAUUUUGUUCUAAAGGGAAGGCUGUUAUUUGCUAGUCGCCAUAGAAAAUGCAAAAUUUUACCUGGCAAAUGUAGCGCCCAUAAUUUCUUCCAUGGUAGGUUAGUACUUAUUUCAGGAUUGUGUGACAUUGAAGGGAUGCCUUUUUCAGAUUCUCGUGCUUCAGAAUCAAGGACAACUUGAUAUGCCGAUUUAACCGAAAAGUUUCCUUUUUUAUCAAAGUGCCAAGCUAAGAAAUCUUCGGCACCUUCUUGAAUAGGAAUUUGGAGGAUUGCCUGAGCAUCUUGUUCAUUAAAAGUUUUCUUGAUAAGUUGUUCAUCCCAGGAGUAGAAGACAGGAUCAAUUAGCUCUGCAACUUUUGUUAGCAGAUUAUUUCCUCUUCUGGAUGUGACCAUCCUUGAUAUACCUUUUGGGAGCCAAGGAUCUGUCCAUAUAUUGAUGUUCUCCCCGUCACCAACUCUCCAUACAAUUCCAUUCUUCAACACUUGUACUCCUUUUAAAAUGCUCCUCCAACAAUACGAGAUACCAUUUUUCGGUUCAUCCUGUAGCAGAUUGUGGUCUGGAAAAUAUUUUGCUGCAAGGACUUGUGAGCAUAGAGAAAGAGGACUCUUUAGAAUUCUCCAUGCCUGCCUUGCCAACAUGGCAAGGUUAAAAGAAUAUAAAUCUCUAAAACCCAGACCUCCAUCUUUCUUUGGUUUUGUCAAAUUUUCCCAGCUGACCCAAUGGAUUUUGUUCUCUUUAUCCAUGUUGCUCCACCAAUAUUGCCCUAUCAUUGUACUGAUGUCAUCGCAAAGAGUCUUGGUGAGGUCAAAGCAAGCCAUGGCAUAAACAGGUAUAGCUUGAGCGGCUGCUUUUAUCAAAAUCUCUUUUCCAGCUUUAGAAAGCAUCUUUUCCUUCCAGCCCUGUAGUUUGUUCCAUAUUUUCUCCUUCAAGUAUUGAAAAGCCUUUGCUUUGGAUUUGCCAAUAUAUACUGGCAAACCCAAAUAUUUUCCUGAAAAACCUUCUUUGGAGAUGCCUAAUUGGUUCAUCAAUUCACUUUUGUCUUCAGCUUUUGUGUUCCUGCUAAAUAGGAUAGCACACUUGUCCUUAUUUAUAGCUUGACCCGAGCAGGCUUCAUAUGUAUUGAGAAUUCUGUUUACUUCUUGUAUACUGCUGGCGUUAGCUUCGAUGAGAAGAAGGGAGUCAUCUGCAAAUAACAAGUGACUUAUACUAGGAGCAGAUUUACAAAUUUUGAUUCCUUUCAGUUUCCCAUUUAACUCAGUGUCAUGAAGCAUGGCAGAGAAGCCUUCGGCGCAAAAUAGAAAUAGAUAUGGAGAGAGAGGAUCACCUUGGCGGAGCCCUCGCUCUGGAAUAAUAGUAUCGGUUGCAUCUCCAUUUAUCUUGACUUGAUACUUCACCGUGGUGACACAUUUCAUUACUAAUUCAGUCCAUCUUCUAUCAAAUCCCAUCCUCAACAUCAUUUCGUGUAGAAAUUUCCAUUCAACGCGGUCAUAUGCCUUGCUCAUGUCGAGUUUAAUUGCUGCAUAGCCUUUAUUUCGUGUUCUUUUUCUCUGCAAAAAAUGUGUCAAUUCAUAAGCUAAAAUGAUAUUAUCAGAGAUCAUUUGUCCUGGGACGAAGGCACUCUGAUUUGGAGAUAUUAGAUCAGGGAGGACCAAUUUCAGUCUAUUAGUGAGAACCUUCGAGAUCAGCUUAUAAACCACGUUGCAGAGGCUUAUAGGCCGUAGAUCUUUUAAAUUAUCCGGAGCUGCAGUUUUUGGAAUAAGUACUAUCAUCGUGUUGUUCCAACCAUCUGGCAUCUCUCCUCCCCUGAGUACAUUGAGAACUUCUUUUGUGACCUGAUUGCCGAUGAUGUUCCAGAAGCGUUUAAAGAACACUGCUGGCAUCCCAUCAGGUCCUGGCGCCUUCAAGUCCCCUAUGCUAUCUAGAGCAUUUUUUAUUUCUUCUUCUGUGUACUCCGAACAGAGGAUUUCAUUCAUUUGUUCCGACACCCUAGGCUGAACUGCACGGAGGAUUUCCUCAUUAUUAUGUCCUGCUGCAGAUGAAAAGAGGCUAAAGAAAUAAUUAGAUAUAUGUUCCUUCAGCUGAUCUGUAUUGUCCACCCAUGAUCCAUCAUCCCUUUUUAACCUUCUUAUGGUAUUUCUCCUUUUCCUCUCUGAUGCAAAGGCAUGGAAGAAAGCAGUAUUUUUAUCACCAGAAUGAAGCCAUUUUACAUGCGCUCUUUGCUUCCAGACUAUAUCCUGUUGAUGAUCUAGUCGGUUCAACUUAUCCUUCAGAAAAUGCUCGCGGUUUACCCUUUGUUGAUUAAUUUCCCCCUUCUUAUAUCCUCCCAAUCUUGUUUCAGUUGCUUAAUUCUCUUUUGUAAGUUUCCAAACACGUUUUCAUCCCAAUCUUUAAGAUCUGUGGCCACUUUCUGAAUCCCUUGUAAAACAUUGCCUCCACUCUGUAUGUUCGAUAAUCGCCAAGCAUUAUUUACAAUAACUUCAGUCCUGUUCAUCAAGCCAUUUAGCUUCAAAUCUGAAAGCAUUUUUUCCAUUCACACUUCUAGGUACUUUUAGUGAUCCUUCAAUUAGGAUUGUGACAGGUCUGUGGUCAGAAUGCCUAGGAUCACCAUUUAUAACUUUAUAAGCAGGAAAGCGUGCACACCAUUCUCUAGAUCCCACUGCUCGAUCUAGUCUUUCUUUAAUGUAAUGAUCAGCAUCAUGAUUUUUAUUACGCCAUGUGAAUUUAUCUCCAGUAAAUCCUAGAUCUCGCAGUCCACAAUCAAGUAAUGUCAUUCUGAAAUUCUCCAUAUGCUUCUGAUUGCGUGGAGGUCCUCCUUUUUUUUCAUGAGCAUAUAAAAUUUCAUUAAAAUCUCCUGCACAUAGCCAUGGAAGCUUUAGCUGUUGGUUAAGAAUUCUCAUAAGUUUCCAUGUUUUUUCCUUCUUAUCUGUUGCAGGUUCUCCAUAAAUUCCAGCGAAACACCAUUUGUAGCCAUCUUGUUUAGUAAUUUCCAUAUCCACAUGAUAUCUCGAAAAAUUAUGCAGCUUCGCAUUUAUGUGUCUUUUCCACAUUAAAGCCAGACCGCCCCUUUUUCCUUCACAUCUUUGUACCACCAUUCCAGACAUUCCCAGAACACUCUUGAACCAACUCAUUCUGUUCUCAUCCGUUUUAGUUUCGGAUAAAAACAGCACAUCAGGGGCCACCUGCUUCUGGAGAUUCAGAAGCCCACGAACUGCCAGGCCAUUCCCCAAUCCCCGGCAGUUCCAAACUGUUAUUCUCAUUUUGAUUCGCCGCGCUGUCCCUGCAGCCCAGCGCUUGCAAUCUCAGAUUUGGUGUUUUUCUCGUUAUCCUCCUCACGAUCAACCUGCGUUCUGGCUUUCUUAGUUAAUUCAGUAAUCUCAUCAACAUCCAUGAAGUCUGCAUUUCUUUUCUUCAGUUCUAUCCUAUAUAACUUCUUCCCGAUAAUGUUCCCUUUUGUUCUUUCUAUCCGCUUGUAAGUACGUUGCUUCCUGCUUUUGAGCCACUUUUUCGCUCAAAUUCUUGACCUCCUUCUUUUGGCUGACUUUUAAUUGCUUCAUUAUGCUUGUUCACGAUUAAAUCUUGUCUCUGUUUACUUACUUCAUUUCCCUCCACCAUUGCUCCCCAGGACUACUAGAGAUAUCUAGCUUGACUUGAUCACCAAUUUCUGAUUCUUUGCCCUUUAUAUUAGUAGUCACCUGCUUGUCCUCAAACAUUAAUUUUUUUGCCUUCAACUGACCUUGUUUGUUCUCCCUGAUUUAUGUCAAAGGGGCUUGCAGCUUCUCUAUCUUCUCCCUUUUUUGAUAUUCCUUUGUCACUUCUGGUCAGCAAAUUCUUCCUCCAAGAUGGGCCAUCGCUCCCCUGCUUAUUACCUCCUCCAACAAUGUUACUUCUCCAAAAGUCUCCAUUAUCAUUGGACCCUCUACUUUUUUCUCCACUUGAACUUCCCUUGUAAAUAACUGCUCUUAACCAUGGACCAAACUGUCUAGCACCCUCUCUCUUAGUUAUUGUUGGGCAAAGCUUUUCUGUAUGUCCAAUAAUUCCACACUUGUAGCAAAAAUCUGGCAAAUAUUCAUAUUUAAAAGUGACAACUUUUUCCUUCUUUUUCUUUCUUUUUUCCUCGUCGUCGUCUUCAUUUCCUAUCAUCCUUUCAUUUACCAGAUCUUGUUCCUCUUCCUCCUCGUCCAUGAAUAAAGUAGUGAGUUUCAUUAUUGCGACAGUUAUAUCCAUCCGCACCUUGAUUUGCAUAAAUUCCCCCAUUGCAUCCCCAUUAUCAUCCAAGUCUACGUCUAAGAAUUCUCCAAUUUGUUCUCCUUACAGUUCUGCUGUUUCUCUGCUCAUCACGCCCAUCGGAACGUAGUAAGCCCUUACCCAUAUUGGAAUUGUCUUAAACUCAUAUUCAUCAAUGGUUUUGCUUGGCAUGAAUUCCUCCGUCACAAUCAGAUCUUUAUCAAACAUCCAGGGUCCUCCCUCUAUUGUCUUCUUUUUUGCCAUCUCUUCAUGGAACAAAAAUAAGAAUCUAUUUCUACCCAACUCUUUGCACUCAACUCCAGAGAAAGGGCUCCAAAUAUUACCCAAAGCCCUACCUACGUGCCCUGCUCUUGCAGGUUUUUCAGAAUAGAGCUUACCCACUGCUUGAAGCUUGCUCGCUUUCAAGGAACAAGCCUGCUUCUUUCCGAUUCUGAUUAAUUUCUUCUCUGCAUCUGAAAGCCGUAGAUUUUGUAGUCUUCCUUCCACCCCGUCUACUGCUAAAGUCUUCUCAUCACCCAUGCCAGCCGCACUCGGUCGCAACUCCGGGCUUCCGCCUCCUCCCCCGUCACCUCCAAACACCCCCUCCGCCAGACACGGGACUAGGAUUAACAGGUGUAUUUGGUUCUCUCAGGGAUUGGACUGAAGCUCAGAGUUACACAAUGUUCUUUAGAUCAAGCAAUCAGACCCCUCAGGCAGCUUUGUUAGGCUCUCACGAUGGCAGUGGGAUGGGAAGGGAUGGGAUGGGAUGGAUCUGCUGCACCUCUAAUGGAUUGUGGAAACGGACGCGAUUCUGAAGAUUUUGGUGGAUUUGGGACGAAUUUUGGGCGGCAAAGAUUGCCGACGGAAAUCGCCGUGGAGUCGCCAUGAAGUCGCUAGAAGCAGCACGAAACCGUCACGUGCGGACGGACCAAUGGGGUACCACACUGUACUGUAUGAUUUUUGACUAGAGAUAUUUUUUAUUGAAAAGAAAGAGACGAACUCUUCAAUCUUUUGGUAUGCAUAAAUUAGCAUCACCAAUGGAAGAAUAUGAAUUCUACAUAAAUCUACUAAAUUAAGAAUUGGUGGUUUUCUAGCUUGACAUUUUAAGUUGCUCUGUAACUCCUAUAGGUAUUGAUACACUUAUCAUACUAGGCUAUUGCUGUACUAGUUAGCAAAUGACAAAUUGAUUUUGGGGCUACACGCUACAUACACCUGUUGUUUUUAAAUCCAUGCUUUCUUGGUAUGUGCAGAUUCUUUUACCAAGCAAUAUAAGUUUCUAUUUUAGGAAUGUAUGUUCUGAUUUUGAAACGUAUUUUGUGACAGGAUAUUAGAAGGGAGCUAAAGAUCGAACCGUUUGUGACCCUUGAAUCAGCACCAAAGAUGGAUGUAAUUGUGCAAAGAGUUGUUGUAAGUUAAAAAAAUAAUUAUGAACAUAUAACCUAAUAGCGUGAUUACUUCUUUGAUACCUUGAGCGCUUAACAAUGUUGUUUUGCAUUAGGUAGAUGAAACCUGUCCGAAAUGUGGCCAUCCUCAACUCGAGUAUCACACGAAGCAGGUUAUUUACCGAGUUCGAACAUUCGAUGACAUUUUAGUACCCAUUUUUCUCUUUCUGGCUCUGAAUCUUGCUGAACUUCUGGACGUGUAAUUACAGCUACGGGCAGCGGAUGAAGGGCAGACUGUCUUCUACGAAUGCCCGGAAUGCAGGCACAAUUUCAAGGUCAAUAACUAGGAAAGAACUCAUCAAUCACUUCACGUGUAUGGCCAAAAGAGAAAUGCUCUUGCCAUGAGUUGACAAGCGAUGUUCAAAGGGUUUGCAGCGCCUUCGUCCGUGCUCUAAGCAUGAAUGUUAUCUGGGAUGUGCUAAUCCAUACAUAUGCCAAAAACUUUUGGGCCGAAUCUUUUUGUUAUUGGGGUUGAUCCACAUUUCAAGUACUAUUAGUAUGUAUUUUAUCCAGCUUAAUAGCAUCUCCAGCAGCUUCCCUAAACUGGUCUGGUUUUAGGGAUAGGAGAGAACUUUUUGGGAAAAAAGAUGUUCCUCUCCAGCAGGUUCCCCAAAGUGAUUCCUUAUACUAGUAUUUUGUUUGCCAUCACACUUGCACGUGGGACCCAAAUGUCAUUUACUAAAAGAAAAACCGUCGCGCACCGUCGCUUGCCGUUGCGUCCACAUGUCGCCGCCCCUGUCCGUCUUGAGCUGCCCACCGAUUCAGAGGGGGGGAUGGGGUCGCGAUGCCAGCAGCAGGUCGAGGAGGAGCACUGUAGGCAGCGCUGGUGCUCGGCGCGGAUCGUAGACAUCCACGCCGGCCAAUUCGAGCGCCGCUCCGGCCGAAUUGACGUCUAGCGACUUGGCACGGAGGCGGAUACGGGGGCAACGGUAGGGGGCUUGCCGGCCCGAUUCACCGCGGGAUGGGCUCGGGAGGGGGCAUGGCCGCCGGAGGUGGUGCAGGCAGCCGAUUCGAUGGAGGCGGUCCGGCACGAAAACGAACGGAAUCGAGCGGUUAUUUUCGUGUGCUUGCUUUUCUGCGUUUAGGGAACGAGGCU